CGAGCGUUGUCCGGAUUUACUGGGCGUAAAGCGCGCGCAGGUGGUCCUGAAAGUCGAGCGUGAAAGCUCCCGGCCCAACUGGGAGAGGCCGUUCGAAACUUCAGGACUUGAAGGCGGGAGAGGCAAAUGGAAUUUCCGGUGUAGCGGUAAAAUGCGUAGAUACCGGAAGGAACACCAGUGGCGAAAGCGAUUUGCUGGCCCGCCCUUGACACUCAGGCGCGAAAGCUAGGGGAGCGACCGGGAUUAGAUACCCCGUUAGUCCUAGCCGUAAACAAUGGGCACUAGGUGUUGUCGGUAUCGACCCCGGCAGUGCCGAAGCUAACGCAUUAAGUGCCCCGCCUGGGGAGUACGACCGCAAGGUUA
rnacentral:rRNA from 1 species